GUGCCAGCAGCCGCGGUAAUACGUAGGGUGCGAGCGUUGUCCGGAAUUACUGGGCGUAAAGAGCUCGUAGGUGGUUUGUCGCGUUGUUCGUGAAAACUCACAGCUUAACUGUGGGCGUGCGGGCGAUACGGGCAGACUAGAGUACUGCAGGGGAGACUGGAAUUCCUGGUGUAGCGGUGGAAUGCGCAGAUAUCAGGAGGAACACCGGUGGCGAAGGCGGGUCUCUGGGCAGUAACUGACGCUGAGGAGCGAAAGCGUGGGGAGCGAACAGGAUUAGAUACCCUGGUAGUCCACGCCGUAAACGGUGGGUACUAGGUGUGGGUUCCUUCCUUGGGAUCCGUGCCGUAGCUAACGCAUUAAGUACCCCGCCUGGGGAGUACGGCCGCAAGGCUAAAACUCAAAGGAANUGACGGGGGCCCGCACAAGCGGCGGAGCAUGUGGAUUAAUUCGAUGCAACGCGAAGAACCUUACCUGGGUUUGACAUGCACAGGACGCCGGCAGGAUGUCGGUUCCCUUGUGGCCUGUGUGCAGUAGAUGCAUGAGGGGCGAU
rnacentral:rRNA from 1 species